UCCAGACAUUGCCAAAUGUAACCUGGGGGACAAAAUUCACCCCAGUUGAUAGCUAGUGCCAUAAAACAAGGUUUAUCCACAUUCAUAUGAAAAAUACUUGGUAAUUUCCAUGUCGUCUUUUUUUAUUAAAUGUUUUAGGUGUGUUUUUAAAAGACCAUUAGUUCACUGAAUACUAAGAGCCUGAGGAACUGCUUGGGUGAUUUGACUAAUAAAGUCCGGUGCUAGGGUGGGGGCAGUCUCUAAAGCUGU
rnacentral:lncRNA from 1 species